rnacentral:sRNA from 3 species
AUGCUCCUAUGUUGUGUUAAGUGUUGGCAGAUAUCUGGACCCCGCCCUAGCGGUCCGGAACUUGAACCCCGGAACUUCCCCCUCCCCAUAAGAAGUCCGGGGUUUUUUUUGCCUGCGA